rnacentral:rRNA from 1 species
GACGAACGCUGGCGGCGUGCUUAACACAUGCAAGUCGAACGAUGAAGCUGGAGCUUGCUCUAGCGGAUUAGUGGCGAACGGGUGAGUAACACGUGAGCAAUCUGCCCUUGACUCUGGGAUAACUGCGGGAAACUGUAGCUAAUACCGGAUACGAGACUCGGAGGCAUCUCUGGGUCUGGAAAGAAUUUCGGUCAAGGAUGAGCUCGCGGCCUAUCAGCUAGUUGGGGAGGUAAUGGCUCACCAAGGCGACGACGGGUAGCCGGCCUGAGAGGGUGACCGGCCACACUGGGACUGAGACACGGCCCAGACUCCUACGGGAGGCAGCAGUGGGGAAUAUUGCACAAUGGGCGAAAGCCUGAUGCAGCAACGCCGCGUGAGGGAUGAAGGCCUUCGGGUUGUAAACCUCUUUUAGCAGGGAAGAAGCGAAAGUGACGGUACCUGCAGAAAAAGCACCGGCUAACUACGUGCCAGCCGCCGCCGUAA